GAUGAACGCUGGCGGCGUGCCUAAUACAUGCAAGUCGAGCGAACGGACGAGAAGCUUGCUUCUCCGAUGUUAGCGGCGGACGGGUGAGUAACACGUGGAUAACCUACCUAUAAGACUGGGAUAACUUCGGGAAACCGGAGCUAAUACCGGAUAAUAUUUUGAACCGCAUGGUUCAAUAGUGAAAGACGGUCUUGCUGUCACUUAUAGAUGGAUCCGCGCUGCAUUAGCUAGUUGGUAAGGUAACGGCUUACCAAGGCAACGAUGCGUAGCCGACCUGAGAGGGUGAUCGGCCACACUGGAACUGAGACACGGUCCAGACUCCUACGGGAGGCAGCAGUAGGGAAUCUUCCGCAAUGGGCGAAAGCCUGACGGAGCAACGCCGCGUGAGUGAUGAAGGUCUUCGGAUCGUAAAACUCUGUUAUUAGGGAAGAACAAAUGUGUAAGUAACUGUGCACAUCUUGACGGUACCUAAUCAGAAAGCCACGGCUAACUACGUG
rnacentral:rRNA from 1 species